AAGUCGUAACAAGGUUUCCGUAGGUGAACCUGCGGAAGGAUCAUUAAUGUGUGUCUGAGCGGUGCGGCCACCCGUCGCCCGCGCAUUCCCACCCUUGUCUACCUUACCUGUUGCUUCGGCGAGCCUGCGGGCCGUCAAAAGCUCGCUGCCGGGUUGGCCCUCACAGGCCUCCGGGCUCGUGCUCGCCGAAGAUCAUUGAACUCCAGUCGAAGAAUGAAGUCUGAAGAAACUGAUUAAUAAAUCAAAACUUUCAACAACGGAUCUCUUGGUUCC
rnacentral:misc_RNA from 1 species